rnacentral:misc_RNA from 1 species
GAUGAAGAACGCAGCGAAAUGCGAUAAGUAAUGUGAAUUGCAGAAUUCAGUGAAUCAUCGAAUCUUUGAACGCACAUUGCGCCCGCCAGUAUUCUGGCGGGCAUGCCUGUUCGAGCGUCAUUUCCACCAUCAGGCCCCCGGGCCUGUGUUGGGGACCUGCGGCUGCCCGCAGGCCCCGAAAUUCAGUGGCGGUCGCGCCGUAGCAACCGAGCGUAGUAACUAAAACGUCUCGCUCUGGCUCGCUGGGCGCGCUCCGGCCGUAAAACACCCCCCCUUUUCGCAAAGGUUGACCUCGGAUCAGGUAGGAAUACCCGCUGAACUUAAGCAUAUCAAUAAGCGGAGGA